GAGACCCGUACCCACAGUUGCCAGCGGNUGCUCCGGCAGGCUGGGUACACCGUGGGGACCGCCUCUGCUAAAGAGGAGGAAGGAGCGGGCGACGGUAGGUCAGUAUGCCCCGAAUUCUCCGGGCUACACGCGGGCUACAAUGGAUGGGACAAUGGGCUCCGACACCGAAAGGUGAAGGCAAUCUCUUAACCCCAUUCUUAGUUCGGAUUGAGGGCUGAAACUCGCCCUCAUGAAGCUGGAAUCCGUAGUAAUCGCGUUUCAAAACAGCGCGGUGAAUACG
rnacentral:rRNA from 1 species